AUUGAACGCUGGCGGCAGGCUUAACACAUGCAAGUCGAACGAGUGGCGGACGGGUGAGUAAUGCCUGGGAAUCUGGCUUAUGGAGGGGGAUAACGACGGGAAACUGUCGCUAAUACCGCGUACCAUCGGAUGAGCCCAAGUGGGAUUAGGUAGUAGGUGGGGUAAUGGCUUACCGAGCGGAUGAUCCCUAGCUGGUCUGAGAGGAUGACCAGCCACACCGGGACUGAGAGACGGCCCGGAAUCCUACGGGAGGCAGCAGUGGGGAAUAUUGCGCAAUGGGGGCAACCCUGACGCAGCCAUGCCGCGUGAAUGAAGAAGGCCUUCGGGUUGUAAAGUACUUUCAGUAGUGAGGCGUUAAAUGCAGAAGAAGCACCGGCUAACUCCGUGCCAGCAGCCGCGGUAAUUC
rnacentral:rRNA from 1 species